UUAUAGAACUUUGUUUUUAUUUCUAUUUUAUAUUAGUGUUUUAUUUGUAAUGUAUUUAACCUAUAUAUAAUAAAACUAUAUCUUAUUAUAACCAAUACGCUCGCCUGCCAAAGACUCUGAUCAAGACCUGAGCAGAACAGACCACAGAGAAGUCUUCUGAGACCUGUCUUGUAAUUUCGCAUCCCUCUUCAGGAAUAACGGCAGUCACGUCUAGCGGGGAAACCCAGACCGGACCGAACAUGCACCUUAGCAUCUGCGAUUAAAUGGGCAGGGCUCAAACCACUUUUGGUGGAGCGUGAACACACUUUACUGUUAAUCA